rnacentral:rRNA from 1 species
UACGGAGGGUGCAAACGUUGCUCGGAAUCAUUGGGCGUAAAGCGCACGUAGGCGGCCUGAUAAGUCGGGUGUGAAAGCCCUGGGCUCAACCCAGGAAGUGCACUCGAAACUGUCAGGCUUGAAUAUGGAAGAGGGUCGCGGAAUUCCCGGUGUAGAGGUGAAAUUCGUAGAUAUCGGGAGGAACACCAGUGGCGAAGGCGGCGCGCUGGAUCUCUUCUGACGCUGAGGCGCGAAAGCCAGGGGAGCGAAUGGG